rnacentral:rRNA from 1 species
CUAUUAAAGCAGGGGAUCGUAAGACCUUGCGGUUAGAGAGGAGCUCAUGCGAUAUCAGCUAGUUGGAGAGGUAAUGGCUCACCAAGGCUAAGACGUCUAGGCGGAUUGAGAGAUUGACCGCCAACACUGGGACUGAGACACUGCCCAGACUCCUACGGGAGGCUGCAGUCGAGAAUCUUUCGCAAUGGGCGCAAGCCUGACGAAGCGACGCCGUGUGUGCGAAGAAGGCUUUCGGGUCGUAAAGCACUUUCGCCUGGGAACAAGAGAAGAUGGCUAAUAUCCAUCUAAUUUGAGCGUACCAGGUAAAGAAGCACCGGCUAACUACGUGCCAGCAGCUGCGGUAAUACGUAGGGUGCAAGCGUUAAUCGGAUUUAUUGGGCGUAAAGGGCGUGUAGACGGGGGAUUAAGUCAGAUGUGAAAUCCCGGGGCUCAACCUCGGAACUGCAUUUGAAACUAAUCCUCUAGAGGAUGGACGGAAAAAACGGAAUUCCACAAGUAGCGGUGAAAUGCGUAGAUAUGUGGAAGAACACCGGUGGCGAAAGCGGUUUUCUAGUUUAUUCCUGACGUUGAGGCGCGAAAGCUAGGGGAGCAAACAGGAUUAGAUACCCUGGUAGUCCUAGCUGUAAACGAUGUAUACUUGGUGUAACCGGACUCAACCCCGGUUGUGCCGUAGCCAACGCGUUAAGUAUACCGCCUGGGAAGUACAGUCGCAAGGCUGAAACUCAAAAGAAUUGACGGGGACCCGCACAAGCAGUGGAGCAUGUGGUUUAAUUCGAUGCAACGCGAAGAACCUUACCCAGACUUGACAUGCAGAGGAAGAUAGCAGAAAUGUUAUCGCCCUUCGGGGCUUCUGCACAGGUGCUGCAUGGCUGUCGUCAGCUCGUGCCGUGAGGUGUUGGGUUAAGUCCCGCAACGAGCGCAACCCUUAUCACUAGUUGCCAACACGUAAUGGUGGGAACUCUAGUGAGACUGCCCGGGUUAACCGGGAGGAAGGUGAGGAUGACGUCAAGUCCGCAUGGCCCUUGUGUCUGGGGCUACACACGUGCUACAAUGGCCGGUACAGAAGGCAGCAAAGCUGAGAAGUGGAGCAAAUCCGUAAAACCGGCCUCAGUUCAGAUUGUAGUCUGCAACUCGACUACAUGAAGAUGGAAUUGCUAGUAAUGGCGUGUCAGCAACAACGCCGUGAAUACGUUCCCGGGUCUUGUACACACCGCCCGUCACAUCAUGGGAGUUGGUUUUACCCGAAGCCGCUGACCUAACCGCAAGGAUGGAAGCGUCUAAGGUGAGGCUGAUGACUAGGAUGAAGUCGGAACAAGGUA